rnacentral:rRNA from 1 species
ACUCCUACGGGAGGCAGCAGUGGGGAAUUUUCCGCAAUGGGCGAAAGCCUGACGGAGCAACGCCGCGUGAGGGAUGAAGGCCUCUGGGCUGUAAACCUCUUUUCUCUAGGAAGAAGAUCUGACAGUACUUGAGGAAUAAGCCACGGCUAAUUCCGUGCCAGCAGCCGCGGUAAU